rnacentral:lncRNA from 1 species
CCUUGUCUGUCAAGGAACCGGUCGUCGUUCCACCCCCUCCCCUUCCCCGAACACCAUCGUCGCUCCUCUGCGUGGCGUCUCUCGCUUGUCGCUACCAUCCAUGAGGAGAAUCCAUCGUCAAAGGUCGCCGUACAGGGACUCUGUUGCUUUCUGCAGAACCGCCACUCCUGCCACCUCCAGGAAAGCAUUUGUACGCAGAUGGGUUAUAUCUAAUAACUUGUAUGUACAUGCCUCUAUUUUUGUGUCCAUUCGAUCAUCAUUUCACCCUGAUAUAGUUAUUCUUUCUACUUUCAUUGAUUCUUUCGUGGUUUCUUGUCAUCUUGUGCCCUUUGACAAUUGGGUUUUUCUCUGUUAUUCUUUGUAGGGGAUUUGCUCUAAGUUCUGUUGAUAGUGAUGAUGAGUUGAUAGAGCAUACCUUUUUGCCUGCUAUUGUAUAGUCACAAAAUUUCCAUGGUGUGCAUGGGGGUACUUUUUCAGUGAACCCAUCACUUAUACUGCAUACUGGAAAAAGGUAUCUAUAGCUUUUAGGUAAUGUCUAUUUCAAUCAUCAGAAGACAUAUUGAAUAUAUGUUCCUUUGUGCACCGAAACAAUCCCAUAAAAAAACAAACUACUUCCCUAUAUUGUGAUUCUUCCCAUAGUUGUUUGCUCCCUGGAAACAAAGGCCGAGGCAACAUAUUUUACCGUGUAUACAAUGAUCUUGCUUUUAAAACUAAUAAUAUAUACUUAUGAUCUCUUCUACAUGUUUGUUUUCUAAUCCCUAUUUUCAUGUUUUUGAGGCAUGUUAGCUAUCUUCCAGUAAUAUAUUUAGUGUUAUCCAGUAAGUUUUUUGAGGCAUGUGUGUUACUCAAAGAAAAAGGUGUGUCAGUCUCAGUGAUACCCUUUGAAUUUUUGAACAAUUGCCACUGCUAAGGUGAUUUUUUUUUGGAAACCACUGCUAAGGUGAUUGGAAAUUGCUUUGUACACAUUCUACUAGGCUCGUUUUCUGUGAUUGUACACAUUCUACUAGGCUCAUUUUCUGUGAAUCCCUACAAUCUGAGGAAUGAAGUGAAGGGAAGACGUGAGGAGAAAGCUCUACCUUCACAGGAGACAAGAUCCGUGCCGGGAAUUCGGAUGUGCUUGUAUGUUACUGUAGAGCGACCAUUUCAGGGUGGAUGUUGAUGAUCUCAGAUUGAUUCGAUGCUGCAGCGAGGUAAAGUUGCUAUUUACUUCUCAAGUUCGGACUUGCGUAUCAAACAAACAUAACUUGGCAGCAAGGUUAACAUCUAGGAAAAAUUAUGUGUGUGUGCGCGCGUGCAUCGUGCAUCCGUCAGUGUCGAUUCAUUCAAAUAUUGAUAAGUAUACGAGCAUGUAGGCAAAUGAUGUCAAGACAAUUCAAGAGGCAUGUCAGACUGGGUGGUGUCGGCCGUGUCGCCUGCUCGUCCUCGUUGCUUGUUGGUGUGUUUCUAGGGGACAAUGCUUUGUUUGGAUACCAAAAAGAAAAAUAGUACACAUAGAGAGACUUUCUUAGUUGCAGAGUAACAACAUAUAAGGGUGCAUCUUUUGACCAUUUAAUGAAUCAGAGUUUUAAGUAAAGAGACUAACUCGUCAACUGGAGAGUGAGAUACUAAUUGCUUUCUUUGUAGUGAAGAUGGCCCCUUUUGGGGUGAGACACAACUAUAGUUGCACAGCUAAAGUUCCUAUAUUGCAAAGGCUAUAACUCCUUGUCCUUUGUAGUUUGGAUUUUGGAAUAAUUAUCCUAGAUAGAUGCUAGAAUGGGAGAAAUAUAGUAAAACACAAAUUUAGCAAUGGACAUGCAUGUCUUUUAACGCUGCAGCUUGCUUAUAUUGUUUGUGUUUUUAUCUGGUAUGGGCUUGUAAGCAUGCCGUCGUCAGAAGGAAUCCAUCGUUUUGUCAAAAUAUUGGAUGUAUAACUAAUUCCAUGUUUGUGUUUUCAGCUGGGAUGGGCUUGCACUAAUGAUGUAUUAAAACAUUGAUAUGAUGGCAGGAAGAUCCAAGAUGCUACUGUAUGGUUCUUGCGUUAACCCUCUUGUAGAUAUUGAAAUGCAUGAAAGUCACAUUAGAUUAUGUAUUGAAACAUAUACAAAGUUAAAAUAAUGAGCGAGUCUUUCUUAUUAUGUUUCGCCAUUUUGCAUAAUUUUGGUUUAUCUUCUAACUUUUUUCUUCUAGCCCUUUGUUUCUCCCAUAUCAACCUAAAGAAGUUGAUCCAAUGACAACAUAAAUAAGUUGCUUGGCAUGGUAGUUUAUCCUUCCCAUUAUUUGAGGAUUAGAGCUUGAAAUAAUUCUCUAGCAAAGGUAAGAUAGCUAGGAAGUUGGAAUUUCACAAAGUAGCUACAAUUUUUUAAGUGUGCUUCUUUGGUCCUGAAAUAUGUCUUAUCUUGUGUGAUUUCGCUCAGUUUCUAUUCUAAAAAGCAAAAUGCUUCA